rnacentral:rRNA from 1 species
UACAGAGGUCUCAAGCGUUGUUCGGAUUCAUUGGGCGUAAAGGGUGCGUAGGUGGUGCUGUAAGUCAGGUGUGAAAUCUCGGGGCUCAACCCCGAAACUGCACUUGAUACUGCAGUGCUCGAGGACUGGAGAGGAGAUUGGAAUUCAUGGUGUAGCAGUGAAAUGCGUAGAUAUCAUGAGGAAGACCAGUGGCGAAGGCGGGUCUCUGGACAGUUCCUGACGCUGAGGCACGAAGGCCAGGGGAGCAAACGGG